CUCUACAAUUGGGGGACAGCUUCCGGUGGAGGAGAGAAAGCUGCAGGUGAGCAGCAGAGCAGAGGCGUGAGACCAGCAGCUGAUCAUUCAGCUGGACAUUUGUGCAGGAAUGUGUACUCAAAAACCGAAGAUGCAGCCGAAAAACAUUGCCCAAAGAAAGCACUGAAGAGCAGAGACCAAAUGCUCCUGCUGAUGUGAAGAAAAAAGGAAAACGGUGUAUAACAACUUCCCUUGCUGAGAUAUGAAACUCCAUGUCUAAGGAUGAGAAGGCUAAAAAUUUCCUUCAGGCUGAUUUAGAGAGCAGACUUCACCAUCAGCUGCACCCUGGUUGGUCCACAAGUGGUAACUAUGGCAAAAAGAGGAAGAGAACAAGGAGGAAGAAAGCUAGAGCUGUGGCUGUAGGAGGAGAACAAACGUAUGGCGAUAGAAAUGAGGCCUUUGCAGACGGUCCCAGUACUGCACACACAAAUGCAUGACAGGACAGACAGUCCAGGUUCUGCUCCCAGGCAUUAAGACCCCUGUUAGUGUACCUGUGUGUGGUUAUUGUCAUCUGCUGCAGGCAUGCAUUGUCACCUCAGGGCGCCUCCUGGCUUUACCUCCAGACCAACCCUUCUAAAUAAGGCAUUUAUUGUUUUGUUAUUGUUAAUAAAUUCACAACUUGA